CCUACGGGGAGCAGCAGUGGGGAAUAUUGGGCAAUGGGCGCAAGCCUGACCCAGCAACGCCGCGUGAAGGAAGAAGGCUUUCGGGUUGUAAACUUCUUUUAAGAGGGAAGAGCAGAAGACGGUACCUCUUGAAUAAGCCACGGCUAACUACGUGCCAGCAGCCGCGGUAAUACGUAGGUGGCAAGCGUUGUCCGGAUUUACUGGGUGGAAAGGGCGUGCAGCCGGGAAGACAAGUCAGAUGUGAAAUCCCGCGGCUCAACCGCGGAACUGCAUUUGAAACUGUUUUUCUUGAGUACCGGAGAGGUCAUCGGAAUUCCUUGUGUAGCGGUGAACUGCGUAGAUAUAAGGAAGAACACCAGUGGCGAAGGCGGAUGACUGGACGGCAACUGACGGUGAGGCGCGAAAGCGUGGGGAGCACACAGGAUUAGCUACCCGAGUAGUC
rnacentral:rRNA from 1 species